rnacentral:lncRNA from 1 species
UUACGUAAUGGGAAGGUGUUAGGCACCCAAAACGUCCUAGGUACUCCUAGGGAGCCCUUUUCACACUUGUUGUAUAAAAAAGUUUAUUUGUUUAUGACAUAUUGUGCAAACAUGAUUGGGAAGAUGAGAAAAGAAUGUGCAAAUUUAUUAUUUUUGUGUUUGAACGGAUGAACCCGUUGCCUACGUACCUUUCCAUGAAAAGGUAAAGGAUCAAAACGCC